rnacentral:rRNA from 1 species
UAGGGAAUAUUGGGCAAUGGGCGAGAGCCUGACCCAGCCAUGCCGCGUGCAGGAAGAAGGCUUUCUGAGUCGUAAACUGCUUUUGACAGGGAAGAAUAAGCACUACGUGUAGUGUGAUGACGGUACCUGCAGAAUAAGCACCGGCUAACUCCGUGCCAGCAGCCGCGGUAAUACGGAGGGUGCGAGCGUUGUCCGGAUUUAUUGGGUUUAAAGGGUGCGUAGGCGGCCUGAUAAGUCCGGGGUGAAAGCCCGUUGCUCAACAACGGAACUGCCCUGGAUACUGUGAGGCUUGAGUACAGACGAGGUUGGCGGAAUGGACCGAGUAGCGGUGAAAUGCAUAGAUACGGUCCAGAACCCCGAUUGCGAAGGCAGCUGACUAGGCUGUUACUGACGCUGAGGCACGACAGCGUGGGGAGCGAACAGG